rnacentral:rRNA from 1 species
UAACGACUCUCGGCAACGGAUAUCUCGGCUCUCGCAUCGAUGAAGAACGUAGCGAAAUGCGAUACUUGGUGUGAAUUGCAAAAUCCCGUGAACCAUCGAGUCUUUGAACGCAAGUUGCGCCCGACGCCUUCUGGCCGAGGGCACGUCUGCCUGGGUGUCACGC